GGAGSSCACUGCUAUGGGGGUCCGACUAAGCCAUGCGAGUCAAGGKGGCGUCCCUUCUGGGACGCACCGGCGGACGGCUCAGUAACACGUCGGUAACCUACCCUCGGGAGGGGGAUAACCCCGGGAAACUGGGGCUAAUCCCCCAUAGGCCUGGKGUACUGGAAGGUCCCCAGGCCGAAAGGGAGCCGUAAKSUCGCCCGAGGAUGGGCCGGCGGCGAUUAGGUAGUUGGUGGGGUAACGGCCCACCAAGCCGAAGAUCGGUACGGGCCGUGAGAGCKGGAGCCCGGWGAUGGACACUGAGACACGGGUCCAGGCCCUACGGKGCGCASAGGCGCGAAACCUCCGCAAUGCGGGAAACCGCGACGGGGGGACCCCAGUKCCGUGCCUCUKGCACGGCUUUUCCGGAGUGUAAAAWGCUCCGGGAAUAAGGGCUGGGCAAGGCCGGUGGCAGCCGCCGCGGUAAUACCGGCGGCCCGAGUGGUGGCCACUAUUAUUUGGCCUAAAGCGGCCGUAGCCGGGCCCGUAAGUYCCUGGCGAAAUCCCACGGCUCAACCGUGGGGCUCGCUGGGGAUACUGCGGGCCUUGGGACCGGGAGAGGCCGGGGGUACCCCCGGGGUAGGGGUGAAAUCCUAUAAUCCCGGGGGGACCGCCAGUGGCGAAGGCGCCCGGCUGGAACGGGUCCGACGGUGAGGGCCGAAGGCAAGGGGAGCGAACCGGAUUAGAUACCCGGGUAGUCCUGGCUGUAAAGGAUGCGGGCUAGGUGNUYGGCGAGCUUCGAGCUCGCCCGGUGCCGUAGGGAAGCCGUUAAGCCCGCCGCCUGGGGAGUACGGCCGCAAGGCUGAAACUUAAAGGAAUUGGCGGGGGAGCACUACAAGGGGUGGAGCGUGCGGUUUAAUUGGAUUCAACGCCGGGAACCUCACHGGGGGCGACGGCAGGAUGAAGGCCAGGCUGAAGGUCUUGCCGGACGCGCCGAGAGGAGGUGCAUGGCCGCCGUCAGCUCGUACCGUGAGGCGUCCACUUAAGUGUGGUAACGAGCGAGACCCGCGCCCCCAGUUGCCAGUCCCUCCCGCUCGGGAGGGAGGCACUCUGGGGGGACUGCCGGCGAUAAGCCGGAGGAAGGGGCGGGCGACGGUAGGUCAGUAUGCCCCGAAACCCCCGGGCUACACGCGCGCUACAAUGGGCGGGACAAUGGGACCCGACCCCGAAAGGGGAAGGGAAUCCCCUAAACCCGCCCUCAGUUCGGAUCGCGGGCUGCAACUCGCCCGCGUGAAGCUGGAAUCCCUAGUACCCGCGCGUCAUCAUCGCGCGGCGAAUACGUCCCUGCUCCUUGCACACACCGCCCGUCACUCCACCCGAGCGGGGUCCGGGUGAGGCCCAGUCUCCUUCGGGAGGCUGGGUCGAGCCCGGGCUCCGUGAGGGGGGAG
rnacentral:rRNA from 1 species